rnacentral:rRNA from 1 species
UUUGCCUACGGGGCGCAGCAGUGAGGAAUAUUGGUCAAUGGGCUUACGCCUGAACCAGCCAAGUCGCGUGAGGGAAGACUGCCCUAUGGGUUGUAAACCUCUUUUGUCAGGGAGCAUUUGGCGCUACGUGUAGCGUUAUCGAGAGUACCUGAAGAAAAAGCAUCGGCUAACUCCGUGCCAGCAGCCGCGGUAAUACGGAGGAUGCGAGCGUUAUCCGGAUUUAUUGGGUUUAAAGGGUGCGUAGGCGGAAUGCCAAGUCGGUGGUAAAAUCGUGGGGCUCAACCU